rnacentral:rRNA from 1 species
UACGAAGGGGGCGAGCGUUGUUCGGAAUUACCGGGCGUAAAGGGCGCGCAGGCGGCCUUUCAAGUCAGAUGUGAAAGCCCCGGGCUCAACCUGGGAAUGGCAUUUGGGACUGGAAGGCUCGAGAUCGGGAGAGGAGGGUGGAAUUCCCAGUGUAGAGGUGAAAUUCGUAGAUAUUGGGAAGAACACCGGUGGCGAAGGCGGCUCUCUGGACCGAUACUGACGCUGAGGCGCGAAAGCGCGGGGAGCAAACAGG